UACGGGGGGGGCAAGCGUUGUUCGGAAUUACUGGGCGUAAAGGGCUCGUAGGCGGCCAACUAAGUCAGACGUGAAAAUCCCCGUCGGCCUUAACCGGGGAACUGCGUCUGAAUACUGGAUGGGCUUGAGUUUGGGAGAGGGAUGCGGAAUUCCAGGUGUAGGCGGUAGAAAUGCGUAGAUAUCUGGAGGAACACCGGUGGCGAAGGCGGCAUCCUGGACCAACACUGACGCUGAGUGAGCGAA
rnacentral:rRNA from 1 species